CUUUGGCGCUGUAAUAGGGCCAUGUGGACCCAUGGCAUUGUUCAGGGCAGGAAAGAG
rnacentral:ncRNA from 1 species